GACGAACGCUGGCGGCGUGCUUAACACAUGCAAGUCGAACGGAAAGGCCCUGCUUGCAGGGUACUCGAGUGGCGAACGGGUGAGUAACACGUGGGUGAUCUGCCCUGCACUUCGGGAUAAGCCUGGGAAACUGGGUCUAAUACCGGAUAGGAGCCAUUUUUAGUGUGAUGGUUGGAAAGUUUUUUCGGUGUAGGAUGAGCUCGCGGCCUAUCAGCUUGUUGGUGGGGUAAUGGCCUACCAAGGCGGCGACGGGUAGCCGGCCCGAGAGGGUGGACGGCCACAUUGGGACUGAGAUACGGCCCAGACUCCUACGGGAGGCAGCAGUGGGGAAUAUUGCACAAUGGGCGCAAGCCUGAUGCAGCGACGCCGCGUGGGGGAUGACGGCCUUCGGGUUGUAAACUCCUUUCGCUAGGGACGAAGCUUUUUGUGACGGUACCUAGAUAAGAAGCACCGGCUAACUACGUG
rnacentral:rRNA from 1 species